GCAUAUCAAUAAGCGGAGGAAAAGAAACCAACAGGGAUUGCCCUAGUAACGGCGAGUGAAGCGGCAACAGCUCAAAUUUGAAAUCUGGCCCUAGGGUCCGAGUUGUAAUUUGUAGAGGAUGCUUUUGGUGCGGUGCCUUCCGAGUGCCCUGGAACGGGACGCCAUAGAGGGUGAGAGCCCCGUCUGGUUGGAUGCCAAUCCUCUGUAAAGCUCCUUCGACGAGUCGAGUAGUUUGGGAAUGCUGCUCUAAAUGGGAGGUAUAUGUCUUCUAAAGCUAAAUACCGGCCAGAGACCGAUAGCGCACAAGUAGAGUGAUCGAAAGAUGAAAAGCACUUUGAAAAGAGAGUUAAAAAGUACGUGAAAUUGUUGAAAGGGAAGCGUUUAUGACCAGACUUGGGCUUGGUUAAUCAUCCAGGGUUCUCCCUGGUGCACUUUUCCAGUCCAGGCCAGCAUCAGUUUGCUUCGGGGGAUAAAGGCUUCGGGAAUGUGGCUCUCUCCGGGGAGUGUUAUAGCCCGUUGCGUAAUACCCUGGGGCGGACUGAGGUACGCGCUUCUGCAAGGAUGCUGGCGUAAUGGUCAUCAACGACCCGUCUUGAAACACGGACCAAGGAGUCGUCUUCGUAUGCGAGUGUUCGGGUGUCAAACCCCUACGCGUAAUGAAAGUGAACGCAGGUGAGAGCUUCGGCGCAUCAUCGACCGAUCCUGAUGUUCUCGGAUGGAUUUGAGUAAGAGCAUACGGGGCCGGACCCGAAAGAAGGUGAACUAUGCUUGUAUAGGGUGAAGCCAGAGGAAACUCUGGUGGAGGCUCGCAGCGGUUCUGACGUGCAAAUCGAUCGUCAAAUAUGAGCAUGGGGGGCGAAAGACUAAUCGAACCUUCUAGUAGCUGGUUUCCGCCGA
rnacentral:rRNA from 1 species